rnacentral:rRNA from 1 species
UACGUAGGGGGCAAGCGUUGUCCGGAUUUAUUGGGCGUAAAGAGCGUGUAGGCGGCCAGGUAGGUCGGUUGUGAAAACUGGAGGCUCAACCUUCAGACGUCGACCGAAACCAUCUGGCUAGAGUCCGGGAGAGGAGAGUGGAAUUCCUGGUGUAGCGGUGAAAUGCGCAGAUAUCAGGAAGAACACCCGUGGCGAAAGCGGCUCUCUGGAACGGUACUGACGCUAGACGCGAAAGCGUGGGGAGCGAACAGG